UACGUAGGGAGCGAGCGUUGUCCGGAUUUAUUGGGCGUAAAGAGCUCGUAGGCGGUUCGAUAAGUCGGAUGUGAAAUCUCCACGCUCAACGUGGAGGGGCCAUUCGAUACUGUCGUGACUCGAGUCCGGUAGGGGAGUGUGGAAUUCCCGGUGUAGCGGUGAAAUGCGCAGAGAUCGGGAGGAACACCCGUAGCGAAGGCGGCUCUCUGGACCAGCACUGACACUGAGGCACGAAAGCGUGGGGAGCAAACAGGA
rnacentral:rRNA from 1 species